rnacentral:rRNA from 1 species
UACGUAGGGUGCAAGCGUUAUCCGGAAUUACUGGGCGUAAAGGGCGCGUAGGCGGAUAGUUUAGUCAGAGGUGAAAGCCCAGGGCUCAACCCUGGAAUUGCCUUUGAUACUGGCUAUCUUGAGUUCGGGAGAGGUGAGUGGAACUCCGAGUGUAGAGGUGAAAUUCGUAGAUAUUCGGAAGAACACCAGUGGCGAAGGCGACUCACUGGCCCGAUACUGACGCUGAGGCGCGAAAGCGUGGGGAGCAAACAGG